rnacentral:rRNA from 1 species
GUGAGGAAUAUUCGGCAAUGGGGGGAACCCUGACCGAGCAACGCCGCGUGGAGGAAGACGGUUUUCGGAUUGUAAACUCCUUUUCUAUGGGAAGAGCAAGGACGGUACCAUAGGAAUCAGUCACGGCUAACUACGUGCCAGCAGCCGCGGUAAUACGUAGGUGGCAAGCGUUAUCCGGAAUUACUGGGCGUAAAGCGCACGCAGGUGGCUGCUUAAGUCUGACGUGAAAGCUCCUGGCUUAACUGGGAGAGGUCGUUGGCAACUGGGCGGCUUGAGGCGAGGAGAGGGGCGUAGAAUUCCCGGUGUAGUGGUGGAAUGCGUAGAUAUCGGGGGGAAUACCAGAGGCGCAAGCGGCGCCCUGGCCUGUGCCUGACACUCAUGUGCGAAAGCGUGGGGAGCGAACGGGAUUAGAAACCCCUGUAGUCC